rnacentral:tRNA from 2 species
CCCGCCGUAGCUCAGCCCGGUGGAGCGCCCGGCUGUAGGGAAGGAGGGCACGCGGUGACCGGGUGGUCCGGGGUUCAAGUCCCCGCGGCGGGA